GACGAACUGUGCAAACGUUAUUCGGAAUCACUGGGCUUAAAGGGUGCGUAGGCGGUCUUGUAAGUAGGGUGUGAAAGCCCCCGGCUCAACCGGGGAACUGCGUCCUAAACUGCGAGGCUAGAGUGAGGUAGGGGUGUGUGGAACUUCCAGUGGAGCGGUGAAAUGUGUUGAUAUUGGAAGGAACGCCGGUGGCGAAAGCGACGUGCUGGACCUCUUCUGACGCUGAGGCGCGAAAGCUAGGGGAGCAAACGGG
rnacentral:rRNA from 1 species